AUCACUUCUCGGCCUUUUGGCUAAGAUCAAGUGUAGUAUCUGUUCUUAUCAGUUUAAUAUCUGAUACGUCCUCUAUCUGAGGACAAUAUAUUAAAUGGAUUUUUGGAAGUAGGAGUUGGAAUAGGAGCUUGCUCCGUCCACUCCACGCAUCGACCUGGUAUUGCAGUACCUCCAGGAACGGUGCACCCAAA
ensembl:snRNA U2 U2 spliceosomal RNA